UUAACUCAGAUUUGUAUGGAGUUGGAAUGUAUCCCUACGUUUGCCGCUAGGGGCGCUGUUCCAAAUGCAUACAAGUUUGACUUA
rfam:Bombyx mori DNA, contig: Bm_scaf4_contig4043, strain: p50T/Dazao, build 2, whole genome shotgun sequence.